rnacentral:rRNA from 1 species
CUUAAAUUGAAGAGUUUGAUCAUGGCUCAGAUUGAACGCUGGCGGCAGGCCUAACACAUGCAAGUCGAGCGGUAGCACAGAGAGCUUGCUCUCGGGUGACGAGCGGCGGACGGGUGAGUAAUGUCUGGGAAACUGCCUGAUGGAGGGGGAUAACUACUGGAAACGGUAGCUAAUACCGCAUAAUGUCGCAAGACCAAAGUGGGGGACCUUCGGGCCUCAUGCCAUCAGAUGUGCCCAGAUGGGAUUAGCUAGUAGGUGGGGUAACGGCUCACCUAGGCGACGAUCCCUAGCUGGUCUGAGAGGAUGACCAGCCACACUGGAACUGAGACACGGUCCAGACUCCUACGGGAGGCAGCAGUGGGGAAUAUUGCACAAUGGGCGCAAGCCUGAUGCAGCCAUGCCGCGUGUGUGAAGAAGGCCUUCGGGUUGUAAAGCACUUUCAGCGGGGAGGAAGGCGAUAAGGUUAAUAACCUUGUCGAUUGACGUUACCCGCAGAAGAAGCACCGGCUAACUCCGUGCCAGCAGCCGCGGUAAUACGGAGGGUGCAAGCGUUAAUCGGAAUUACUGGGCGUAAAGCGCACGCAGGCGGUCUGUCAAGUCGGAUGUGAAAUCCCCGGGCUCAACCUGGGAACUGCAUUCGAAACUGGCAGGCUAGAGUCUUGUAGAGGGGGGUAGAAUUCCAGGUGUAGCGGUGAAAUGCGUAGAGAUCUGGAGGAAUACCGGUGGCGAAGGCGGCCCCCUGGACAAAGACUGACGCUCAGGUGCGAAAGCGUGGGGAGCAAACAGGAUUAGAUACCCUGGUAGUCCACGCUGUAAACGAUGUCGAUUUGGAGGUUGUGCCCUUGAGGCGUGGCUUCCGGAGCUAACGCGUUAAAUCGACCGCCUGGGGAGUACGGCCGCAAGGUUAAAACUCAAAUGAAUUGACGGGGGCCCGCACAAGCGGUGGAGCAUGUGGUUUAAUUCGAUGCAACGCGAAGAACCUUACCUGGUCUUGACAUCCACAGAACUUAGCAGAGAUGCUUUGGUGCCUUCGGGAACUGUGAGACAGGUGCUGCAUGGCUGUCGUCAGCUCGUGUUGUGAAAUGUUGGGUUAAGUCCCGCAACGAGCGCAACCCUUAUCCUUUGUUGCCAGCGGUUAGGCCGGGAACUCAAAGGAGACUGCCAGUGAUAAACUGGAGGAAGGUGGGGAUGACGUCAAGUCAUCAUGGCCCUUACGACCAGGGCUACACACGUGCUACAAUGGCAUAUACAAAGAGAAGCGACCUCGCGAGAGCAAGCGGACCUCAUAAAGUAUGUCGUAGUCCGGAUUGGAGUCUGCAACUCGACUCCAUGAAGUCGGAAUCGCUAGUAAUCGUAGAUCAGAAUGCUACGGUGAAUACGUUCCCGGGCCUUGUACACACCGCCCGUCACACCAUGGGAGUGGGUUGCAAAAGAAGUAGGUAGCUUAACCUUCGGGAGGGCGCUUACCACUUUGUGAUUCAUGACUGGGGUGAAGUCGUAACAAGGUAACCGUAGGGGAACCUGCGGUUGGAUCACCUCCUUA